UAAUACAUGCAAGUAGAACGUUGAAGGAGGAGCUUGCUUCUCCGGAUGAGUUGCGAACGGGUGAGUAACGCGUAGGUAACCUGCCUGGUAGCGGGGGAUAACUAUUGGAAACGAUAGCUAAUACCGCAUAAUAGCAGUUAUUGCAUGAUAACUGUUGAAAGGUGCAAUUGCACCACUACCAGAUGGACUUGCGUUGUAUUAGCUAGUUGGUGGGGUAACGGCUCACCAAGGCGACGAUACAUAGCCGACCUGAGAGGGUGAUCGGCCACAUCUGGGACUGAGACACGGCCCAGACUCCUACGGGAGGCAGCAGUAGGGAAUAUUCGGCAAUGGACGGAAGUCUGACCGAGCAACGCCGCGUGAGUGAAGAAGGUUUUCGGAUUCGUAAAGCUCUGUUGUAAGAGAAGAAGA
rnacentral:rRNA from 1 species